rnacentral:rRNA from 1 species
ACGGAAGGCAGCAGUGGGGAAUAUUGCACAAUGGGGGAAACCCUGAUGCAGCGACGCCGCGUGAGUGAUGAAGUAUUUCGGUAUGUAAAGCUCUAUCAGUAGGGAAGAUAAUGACGGUACCUAACUAAGAAGCACCGGCUAAAUACGUGCCAGCAGCCGCGGUAAUACGUAUGGUGCAAGCGUUAUCCGGAUUUACUGGGUGUAAAGGGAGUGUAGGUGGUUUGGCAAGCCAGAAGUGAAAACCCGGGGCUCAACCCCGUGGAUUGCUUUUGGAACUGUUGGACUAGAGUGCAGGAGGGGUAAGCGGAAUUCCCAGUGUAGCGGUGAAAUGCGUAGAUAUUGGGAAGAACACCGGUGGCGAAGGCGGCUUACUGGACUGUAACUGACGCUGAGGCACGAAAGUGUGGGGAGCAAACAGGAUUAGAUACCCUGGUA